rnacentral:snoRNA from 1 species
AAGGGACUUUAUCUCCAUAUCUAUGACGCCAUCAAGGUAGUUGUGGUAAACGAAUCCCUUAUAGUUAAAUACAUGUUACUAUGCAACAUUGGAAUCCCUCGGGAGGAAGGUGUUGUGUAGGAACAGAGUGGGGUGAAACGACUUUUCCUUGUGAAAGGUCACUUUGUUUUCAUUCCAUUUUGAAGGCAUGUGAAAUCU